CUAGCGGCGAGGCCUAACACAUGCAAGUCGCGGGGCGAGCACGGGUAGCAUACCUGGUGGCGACCGGCGCACGGGUGCGUAACGCGUAUGCAACCUGCCCCCAUCAGGGGAAUAGCCCGCCGAAAGGCGGAUUAAUGCCCCAUAGGCCCAGGGCGCCGCAUGGCGCUAUGGGUAAAGCUCCGGCGGAUGGGGAUGGGCAUGCGUGCCAUUAGCUAGUUGGGGCGGUAACGGCGCACCAAGGCGACGAUGGCUAGGGGGUCUGAGAGGAUGGUCCCCCACACUGGUACUGAGACACGGACCAGACUCCUACGGGAGGCAGCAGUGAGGAAUAUUGGUCAAUGGGCGGAAGCCUGAACCAGCCAUGCCGCGUGCAGGAUGACGGCCCUACGGGUUGUAAACUGCUUUUCCCCGGGAAGAAUAAGCCCCUCGUGAGGGGGUGAUGCCGGUACCGGGGGGAAUAAGGAUCGGCUAACUCCGUGCCAGCAGCCGC
rnacentral:rRNA from 1 species